rnacentral:misc_RNA from 1 species
UUAAAAGAGGCAAUUUUGAUGAGGAUGGUUCAUCUGGAACAGCUUUGUAAUUGCAAGAGAAUCAAGACAGAUUGGUAAUCUUACAAGCCAUGGAUAAGCUGAUCUAGCAGAAGUCACAAGCACUUUCUUUUGGCCUAAGAAGAGCAGCAGCCACUCUUCUGCGCAACAGGCUGUCCUCGGAUCUGCACUGUUGGCGGCCUUGCAUCAUUCAAAGCUGGCUGGCUUGCCAUUCUAUCCUUGAUAGCAGCAGCCAUCGCCAUGAAAGCUUGUUCCACAUUAGUAGAAUCUUU